rnacentral:rRNA from 1 species
UACGUAGGGUGCAAGCGUUUGUCCGGAAUUAUUGGGCGUAAAGAGCUCGUAGGCGGUUCGUCGCGUCGGCUGUGAAAACCUGAGGCUCAACCUCAGGCCUGCAGUCGAUACGGGCGGACUUGAGUACUGCAGGGGAGACUGGAAUUCCUGGUGAUAGCGGUGAAAUGCGCAGAUAUCAGGAGGAACACCGGUGGCGAAGGCGGGUCUCUGGGCAGUAACUGACGCUGGAGGAGCGAAAGCCGUGGGGAGCGAACAGGA